ACGGGGUGCAGCAGGCGCGAAAACUCCACAAUGUACGGAAGUACGAUGGGGUUAUCUCGAGUGCAGUCCGAUAAGGGCUGCUUUUCCAUAGAGUAAUAUCCUGUGGGAAUAAGAGGGGGGCAAGACUGGUGUCAGCCGCCGCGGUAACACCAGCCCCUCGAGUGGUGGGGACUAUUAUUUGGCCUAAAGCGUCCGUAGCUGGCUGUAUCCGUCUCCCGGUAAAUCCGGCGUCCUAAUCGUCGGUUCUCGGGUGAUACCAUACAGCUAGAGGGUGGGAUAGGUGAGCGGUAUUUCUGGGGUAGGGGCGAAAUCCUUUGAUCCCAGGAGGACCACCAGUGGCGAAGGCUGCUCACUAGAACACGCCUGACGGUCAGGGACGAAAGCUGGGGCAGCGAACCGGAUUAGAUACCCGGGUAGUCCCAGCUGUAAACGAUGCUAGCUAGGUGUUGGGUCGGCCACGCGCCGCCCCAGUGCCGCAGGGAAGCCGUUAAGCUAGCCGCCUGGGGAGUACGGCCGCAAGGCUGAAACUUAAAGGAAUUGGCGGGGGAGCAC
rnacentral:rRNA from 1 species